UGGGGAAUAUUGCACAAUGGGCGCAAGCCUGAUGCAGCCAUGCCGCGUGUGUGAAGAAGGCCUUCGGUUGUAAAGCACUUUCAGCGAGGAGGAAGGUGGUGAGCUUAAUACGCUCAUCAAUUGACGUUACUCGCAGAAGAAGCACCGGCUAACUCCGUGCCAGCAGCCGCGGUAAUACGGAGGGUGCAAGCGUUAAUCGGAAUUACUGGGCGUAAAGCGCACGCAGGCGGUUUGUUAAGUCAGAUGUGAAAUCCCCGGGCUCAACCUGGGAACUGCAUUUGAAACUGGCAAGCUAGAGUCUCGUAGAGGGGGGUAGAAUUCCAGGUGUAGCGGUGAAAUGCGUAGAGAUCUGGAGGAAUACCGGUGGCGAAGGCGGCCCCCUGGACGAAGACUGACGCUCAGGUGCGAAAGCGUGGGGAGCAAACAGGAUUAGAUACCCCUGGUAGUCCAGCGCUGUAAAACGAUGUCGAUUUUGGAGGUUGUGCCCUUGAGGCGUGGCUUCCGGAGCUAGCGCGUUAAAUCGACCGCCUGGGGAGUACGGCCGCAAGG
rnacentral:rRNA from 1 species